UACGUAGGGUGCAAGCGUUAAUCGGAAUUACUGGGCGUAAAGCGUGCGCAGGCGGUUUUUUAAGUCAGAUGUGAAAUCCCCGGGCUUAACCUGGGAACUGCGUUUGAAACUACAAGGCUAGAGUGUGGCAGAGGGGGGUGGAAUUCCGCGUGUAGCAGUGAAAUGCGUAGAGAUGUGGAGGAACACCGAUGGCGAAGGCAGCCCCCUGGGUUAACACUGACGCUCAGGCACGAAAGCGUGGGGAGCAAACAGG
rnacentral:rRNA from 1 species